UACGGGGGGGGCAAGCGGUUGUUCGGAAUUACUGGGCGUAAAGGGCGCGUAGGCGGCCAUCUAAGUCAGACGUGAAAUCCCUCGGCUCAACCGAGGAACUGCGUCUGAUACUGGAAGGCUUGAAUCCGGGAGAGGGAUGUGGAAUUCCAGGUGUAGCGGUGAAAUGCGUAGAUAUCUGGAGGAACACCGGUGGCGAAGGCGGCAUCCUGGACCGGUAUUGACGCUGAGGCGCGAAAGCUAGGGGAGCAAACGGGG
rnacentral:rRNA from 1 species